rnacentral:tRNA from 1 species
GCCUGGGUGGCUCAGUCCGUUGAGCAUCAGACUCUUGAUCUGAUGAGUCUGAUCUGAUGAGUCUGAUCGGCUCAGGUC